rnacentral:rRNA from 1 species
UACGUAGGGUGCGAGCGUUAAUCGGAAUUACUGGGCGUAAAGCGUGCGCAGGCGGUUGUGCAAGACAGAUGUGAAAUCCCCGGGCUUAACCUGGGAAUUGCAUUUGUGACUGCACGGCUAGAGUGUGUCAGAGGGGGGUAGAAUUCCACGUGUAGCAGUGAAAUGCGUAGAGAUGUGGAGGAAUACCGAUGGCGAAGGCAGCCCCCUGGACGAAGACUGACGCUCAGGUGCGAAAGCGUGGGGAGCAAACAGG